GUAGUCAUAUGCUUGUCUCAAAGAUUAAGCCAUGCAUGUCUAAGUAUAAGCAAUCUAUACAGUGAAACUGCGAAUGGCUCAUUAAAUCAGUUAUCGUUUAUUUGAUAGUACCUUACUACUUGGAUAACCGUGGUAAUUCUAGAGCUAAUACAUGCGAAAAACCCCGACUUCGGAAGGGGUGUAUUUACUAGAUAAAAAACCAAUGCCCUUCGGGGCUUUCUGGUGAUUCAUAAUAACUAAACGAAUCGCAUGGCCUUGCGCCGGCGAUGGUUCAUCCAAAUUUCUGCCCUAUCAACUUUCGAUUGUAGGAUAGAGGCCUACAAUGGUAUCAACGGGUAACGGGGAAUGA
rnacentral:rRNA from 1 species